rnacentral:rRNA from 1 species
UAGGGAAUCUUCCACAAUGGACGCAAGUCUGAUGGAGCAACGCCGCGUGAGUGAAGAAGGCUUUCGGGUCGUAAAACUCUGUUAUUGAAGAAGAACGUGUGUGACAGUAACUGGUCAUGCAGUGACGGUAUUCAAUCAGAAAGUCACGGCUAACUACGUGCCAGCAGCCGCGGUAAUACGUAGGUGGCAAGCGUUGUCCGGAUUUAUUGGCGUAAGCGAGUGCAGGCGGUC